GAUGAAGAACGUAGCGAAAUGCGAUAAGUAAUGUGAAUUGCAGAAUUCAGUGAAUCAUCGAAUCUUUGAACGCACAUUGCGCCCCUUGGUAUUCCGAGGGGCAUGCCUGUUUGAGCGUCAUUUAUACCAACUCCUACUCUUAGUAGGGUCUUGGGCUUCGCCUCUGGGCGGGCCUUAAAAUUAGUGGCGGUGCCUUGAGGCUCUACGCGUAGUAAUACUCCUCGCGAUAGAUGUCUUAGGGUGUCUUGCCAGUAACCCCCAACUUUCUAAGGUUGACCUCGGAUCAGGUAGGGAUACCCGCUGAACUUAAGCAUAUCAAUAAGCGGAGGA
rnacentral:misc_RNA from 1 species